UUGCUUUGGCAGCAUAUGUACUAAAAUUUGGACAAGAUAGAGAAGAUUAGCAUAAUCCCUGAACAAUGAGGACAGGCCAGUUUUCUCCAAAUAAGU
rnacentral:snRNA from 1 species